rnacentral:rRNA from 1 species
UCAUAUUCCAAAUACGGAGGAAAAGAAACUAACUAGGAUUCCCUUAGUAACGGCGAGUGAACCGGGAUGAGCUCAAAUUUAAAAUCUGGCGUCUUUCAGGCGUCCGAGUUGUAAUCUAUAGAGGCGUUUUCCGCGCCGGACCGCGUCCAAGUCUCUUGGAAUAGAGUAUCAAAGAGGGUGACAAUCCCGUACUUGACGCGACAACCGGUGCUCUGUGAUACGUUCUCAAUGAGUCGAGUUGUUUGGGAAUGCAGCUCUAAAUGGGUGGUAAAUUCCAUCUAAGGCUAAAUAUUGGCGAGAGACCGAUAGCGAACAAGUACCGUGAGGGAAAGAUGAAAAGCACUUUGGAAAGAGAGUUAAACAGCACGUGAAAUUGUUAAAAGGGAAACGAUUGAAGUCAGUCGUGUGAAAGGUAUUCAGCCGUCUCUGGCGGUGUAUUUGCCUUUCACGGGUCAACAUCAGUUUGAUCCGGUAGAAAAAGGCAGGAGGAAGGUGGCACCCUCGGGUGUGUUAUAGCCUCUUGUCAUAUGUGCCGGACCAGACUGAGGAACGCAGCUUGCCGCAAGGCCGGGGUUCGCCCACGUACAAGCUAGGAGCAAUCUA